AACGAACGCUGGCGGCAGGCUUAACACAUGCAAGUCGAACGCAUCCUUCGGGGUGAGUGGCAGACGGGUGAGUAACGCGUGGGAACGUGCCCUUCAGUUCGGGAUAACCCCGGGAAACUUGGGCUAAUACCGGAUACGCGCGAGAGCAGAAAGAUUUAUCGCUGAAGGAUCGGGCCGCGUCUGAUUAGCUAGUUGGUGGGGUAAUGGCCCACCAAGGCGACGAUCAGUAGCUGGUCUGAGAGGAUGAUCCGUCACAUUGGGACUGAGACACGGCCCAAACUCCUACGGGAGGCAGCAGUGGGGAAUAUUGGACAAUGGGCGCAAGCCUGAUCCAGCCAUGCCGCGUGAGUGAUGAAGGCCUUAGGGUUGUAAAGCUCUUUCGUCCGGGACGAUAAUGACGGUACCGGAAGAAGAAGCCCCGGCUAACUUCGUGCCAGCCGCCGCCGUAA
rnacentral:rRNA from 1 species